rnacentral:tRNA from 5 species
GGAGGGGUGGGUGAGUGGCUUAAACCAGUACAUUGCUAAUGUGCCGUACGCGAAAGUGUACCGAGGGUUCGAAUCCCUCCCCCUCCGCCA